rnacentral:tRNA from 1 species
GGAGAUGUAGCCUAGAGAUAGAGUGCUUGCCUUGCAUGCAUGAGGCCCUGGUUUCAAUCCUAGCAUCACAA